rnacentral:rRNA from 1 species
ACGAACGCUGGCGGCGUGCCUAAUACAUGCCAGUUGAGCGCUGAAGGUUGGUACUUGUACCAACUGGAUGAGCAGCGAACGGGUGAGUAACGCGUGGGGAAUCUGCCUUUGAGCGGGGGACAACAUUUGGAAACGAAUGCUAAUACCGCAUAAAAACUUUAAACACAAGUUUUAAGUUUGAAAGAUGCAAUUGCAUCACUCAAAGAUGAUCCCGCGUUGUAUUAGCUAGUUGGGGAGGUAAAGGCUCACCAAGGCGAUGAUACAUAGCCGACCUGAGAGGGUGAUCGGCCACAUUGGGACUGAGACACGGCCCAAACUCCUACGGGAGGCAGCAGUAGGGAAUCUUCGGCAAUGGACGAAAGUCUGACCGAGCAACGCCGCGUGAGUGAAGAAGGUUUUCGGAUCGUAAAACUCUGUUGGUAGAGAAGAACGUUGGUGAGAGUGGAAAGCUCAUCAAGUGACGGUAACUACCCAGAAAGGGACGGCUAACUACGUG